rnacentral:rRNA from 1 species
GGCACCUUCGGUGUCCGAGUUGUAAUUUGAAGAAGGUAACUUCUCGGAGUCAGCUCUUGUCUAUGUUCCUUGGAACAGGACGUCACAGAGGGUGAGAAUCCCGUGCGAUGAGAUGUCUGAUUCUAUGUAAAGUGCUUUCGAAGAGUCGAGUUGUUUGGGAAUGCAGCUCUAAGUGGGUGGUAAAUUCCAUCUAAAGCUAAAUAUUGGCGAGAGACCGAUAGCGAACAAGUACAGUGAUGGAAAGAUGAAAAGAACUUUGAAAAGAGAGUGAAAAAGUACGUGAAAUUGUUGAAAGGGAAGGGUUUGAGAUCAGACUUGGUAUUUUGUAUGUCUUGCUUUCGGGUGGGGCCUCUACAGUUUACUGGGCCAGCAUCGGUUUGGACGGUAGGAUAAUGACAUUGGAAUGUGGCACCACUUCGGUGGUGUGUUAUAGACUUUGUUGAUACUGCCUGUCUAGACCGAGGACUGCGUCUUUGACUAGGAUGCUGGCAUAAUGAUCUUAAACCGCCC